rnacentral:rRNA from 1 species
UACGGAGGGGGGCUAGCGUUGUUCGGAAUUACUGGGCGUAAAGCGCACGUAGGCGGAUUGGAAAGUUGGGGGUGAAAUCCCGGGGCUCAACCCCGGAACUGCCUUCAAAACUCCCAGUCUGGAGGUCGAGAGAGGUGAGUGGAAUUCCGAGUGUAGAGGUGAAAUUCGUAGAUAUUCGGAGGAACACCAGUGGCGAAGGCGGCUCACUGGCUCGAUACUGACGCUGAGGUGCGAAAGCGUGGGGAGCAAACAGG